CUUAUAUUAAUGCUUUCAAUUUUGUUUUACAAGCCAGGAAAUGUGAAGAGUUCACCUGGAAAUAAAUAGAAAACUCUACGCUCUACCCAUUAUAAUCAGUUAUAGGUAAACAUUGGAAACUCCAGACAGUAACUCAGUAUUUCUACAGACAAAUGGCAGAAUCAGUAUUGGAUAUAGUAAACUGGCUUUCAUCAGGAAAAACAUUAAGCCUUUCUGCUGGUUUGGGUGAUGCCAUAUUACAGGCCAACUAAUCUGCAAUCUUUCACGUGGAAAUAAUGUACAAGCCUUAGAACCCCUCAUUCUUAUAUCACUAUUUUAUAUAAUUAAAAGUCCAGAUUCCAACAAA